rnacentral:rRNA from 1 species
AGAGUUUGAUCAUGGCUCAGAUUGAACGCUGGCGGCACGCUUAACACAUGCAAGUCGGACGGCAGCACAGGUACUUGUACCGGGUGGCGAGUGGCGGACGGGUGAGUAAUGCUUAGGAAUCUACCGCGAAGUGGGGGACAACACGGGGAAACUCGUGCUAAUACCGCAUAUGUUCUUCGGAAUAAAGAUGGCCUCUAUUUAUAAGCUAUCGCUUUGUGAUGAGCCUAAGUCGGAUUAGCUUGUUGGUGGGGUAAAGGCCCACCAAGGCGACGAUCCGUAGCUGGUCUGAGAGGAUGAUCAGCCACACUGGGACUGAGACACGGCCCAGACUCCUACGGGAGGCAGCAGUGGGGAAUAUUGGACAAUGGGGGCAACCCUGAUCCAGCGAUGCCGCGUGUGUGAAGAAGGCCUGCGGGUUGUAAAGCACUUUAGUUGGGGAGGAGAUGCUGUUUGUGAAUAAUGGACAGCUGAGACGUUACCCAAAGAAUAAGCACCGGCUAACUCUGUGCCAGCAGCCGCGGUAAUACAGAGGGUGCGAGCGUUAAUCGGAGUUACUGGGCGUAAAGGGCGCGUAGGCGGUUAUUUAAGUCAGUUGUGAAAGCCCAGGGCUCAACCUUGGAACUGCAAUUGAUACUGGGUAACUAGAGUCGAAGAGGGGGAAGCGGAAUUUCCGGUGUAGCGGUGAAAUGCGUAGAUAUCGGAAGGAACACCCGUGGCGAAGGCGGCUUCCUGGAUUCAGACUGACGCUGAGGCGCGAAAGCGUGGGGAGCAACAGGAUUAGAUACCCUGGUAGUCCACGCUGUAAACGAUGAGUACUAGCUGUUGGGGGCAAUGUCCCUUCAGUAGCGCAGCUACGCACUAAGUACUCCGNCUGGGAUUACGGCCGCAAGGCUA